AGAUCAUCAUAAAGAAAUCAAGAUUAAGCAUCAUCAUUCAGUUGAUAAGUCAAUAUUUGGAGGUGGAGUGAUUCUUGGGGGAUUAGCAACAACAUUCUUUGUGGCAAUAUUUUGUUAUAUUAGAGCAACUAGAAGGAAGAAUAAUGUGGAGCCUAGUUCUCCCAGUGCCCCAUCAACAGUAUGAUUCUAGUGGAUAUUAGAAAAUUUUCAA
rnacentral:lncRNA from 1 species